rnacentral:sRNA from 18 species
GUCGGGUUCGGGAUGAAGUGGUUGACGACGCCACCCAUGACGGCGAAGGUGCGUUUGCCCUCGGUCAGCAUCUGCACGCCGCGGCGCUUGAACUCCUU